ncrna:unclassified sequences pemK RNA
AUAAUGAUACUUCCGGAGAAGGCUGUCCGGUCUGAAAAGAUGGUGAAAAUCCAAUGA